CAAAUGAAUUGACGGGGGCCCGCACAAGCGGUGGAGCAUGUGGUUUAAUUCGAUGCAACGCGAAGAACCUUACCUGGUCUUGACAUCCACAGAACUUUCCAGAGAUGGAUUGGUGCCUUCGGGAACUGUGAGACAGGUGCUGCAUGGCUGUCGUCAGCUCGUGUUGUGAAAUGUUGGGUUAAGUCCCGCAACGAGCGCAACCCUUAUCCUUUGUUGCCAGCGGUCCGGCCGGGAACUCAAAGGAGACUGCCAGUGAUAAACUGGAGGAAGGUGGGGAUGACGUCAAGUCAUCAUGGCCCUUACGACCAGGGCUACACACGUGCUACAAUGGCGCAUACAAAGAGAAGCGACCUCGCGAGAGUAAGCGGACCUCAUAAAGUGCGUCGUAGUCCGGAUUGGAGUCUGCAACUCGACUCCAUGAAGUCGGAAUCGCUAGUAAUCGUGGAUCAGAAUGCCACGGUGAAUACGUUCCCGGGCCUUGUACACACCGCCCGUCACACCAUGGGAGUGGGUUGCAAAAGAAGUAGGUAGCUUAACCUUCGGGGGGGCGCUUACCACUUUGUGAUUCAUGACUGGGGUGAAGUCGUAACAAGGUAACCGUAGGGGAACCUGCGGUUGGAUCACCUCCUUACCUUAAAGAAGC
rnacentral:rRNA from 2 species